UACAGAGGUCUCAAGCGUUGUUCGGAUUCAUUGGGCGUAAAGGGUGCGUAGGUGGCGCGGUAAGUCGGGUGUGAAAUUUCGGAGCUUAACUCCGAAACUGCAUUCGAUACUGCGGUGCUUGAGGACUGGAGAGGAGACUGGAAUUCAUGGUGUAGCAGUGAAAUGCGUAGAGAUCAUGAGGAAGACCAGUGGCGAAGGCGGGUCUCUGGACAGUUCCUGACACUGAGGCACGAAGGCCAGGGGAGCAGACGGG
rnacentral:rRNA from 1 species